rnacentral:lncRNA from 1 species
GUCUUCUCCUUUGCUAGCGACCGUUGGUAUUGUCAACGGUAACCGACCUAGGCGACACAGGACACUGCAACAGCGACCAUUGGUAUUGUCAACGGUAACCGACCUAGGCGACACAGGACACUGCAACAGAUUUAUUGUCAGGAUAAAUCCUGAGCAAAGCAAGUGUUCUUCCAAGGUCCAGCUGAGCAGAAGUACUGGCAGGAUGGUGCAACGAAAAAAUUAAUCCCUCA